UACGUAGGGGGCAAGCGUUGUCCGGACUUACUGGGCGUAAAGCGCGUGCAGGCGGAUUGGUAUGUGCCGUGUGAAAGCUCUCAGCUUGCCUGGGAGAGGUCGCGGUAGACAGCCGAUCUGGAGGCUCGGAGAGGUCAGUGGAAUUCCCGGUGUAGUGGUGAAAUGCGUAGAGAUCGGCAGGAACACCCGUGGCGGAAGCGGCCACCUAGCCCAUACCUGACGCUGAGGCGCGACAGCGUGGGGAGCGAACGGG
rnacentral:rRNA from 1 species